GUCUCUGUAGCUCAGUUGGUUAGAGCGCUGCACCGGAAUCACAGGGUCGUAGGUUCUAUUCCUACCAGAGAAC
rnacentral:tRNA from 1 species